GUAGGGAAUCUUCCACAAUGGACGAAAGUCUGAUGGAGCAACGCCGCGUGAGUGAAGAAGGUCUUCGGAUCGUAAAACUCUGUUGUUAGAGAAGAACGUGCGUGAUAGUAACUGAUCAUGUAAUGACGGUAUCUAACCAGAAAGCCACGGCUAACUACGUGCCAGCAGCCGCGGUAAUACGUAGGUGGCAAGCGUUGUCCGGAUUUAUUGGGCGUAAAGGGAACGCAGGCGGUUUUUUAAGUCUGAUGUGAAAGCCUUCGGCUUAACCGAAGAAUAGCAUUGGAAACUGGAAGACUUGAGUGCAGAAGAGGAGAGUGGAAUUCCAUGUGUAGCGGUGAAAUGCGUAGAUAUAUGGAGGAACACCAGUGGCGAAAGCGGCUCUCUGGUCUGUAACUGACGCUGAGGUUCGAAAGCGUGGGUAGCAAACAGGAUUAGAAACCCGUGUAGUCC
rnacentral:rRNA from 1 species